rnacentral:lncRNA from 1 species
GGUCAGCAUAUAAAGAGCACAUCUUUAAAUAGGAUGUCUGUCAGGCUGCAAUUACGCUUUAGCUGGUGAGCUCACGACAGUUCCACUCACACUUCUAUAGGAACGUGUAGGAGCCUCUCGCCAACAGUAAGGAGGCAACACGGUGGGUGCCCUUUGUAAGUGGGGGACGCCGGCGGCCUUCUGCCGGGGGUGAUGAUGAGACACAGAACUAGGAAAUCAUUGUCUUAAAAUGAUGCCAGGAUGAGAAAUCCCUGGGAAAUUAGUUCAGGAUUGCUUCUAAGUUAUGUCUCUAUCCUUUAAGUUGGAGCUGCAGAAAUUCUCCGGGAGAUAUCUGGGCCAGGGUUCAUCAAGAAGUGAAUUUCUGCUGCCGAACUGCCCUCCUCUGGGGUUAACUCAGUCUUCAUAAACC